CAUAAAAGGUGGCUUCGGCUACCACUUACAGAUGGACCCGCGGCGCAUUAGCUAGUUGGUGAGGUAACGGCUCACCAAGGCAACGAUGCGUAGCCGACCUGAGAGGGUGAUCGGCCACACUGGGACUGAGACACGGCCCAGACUCCUACGGGAGGCAGCAGUAGGGAAUCUUCCGCAAUGGACGAAAGUCUGACGGAGCAACGCCGCGUGAGUGAUGAAGGUUUUCGGAUCGUAAAGCUCUGUUGUUAGGGAAGAACAAGUACCGUUCGAAUAGGGCGGUACCUUGACGGUACCUAACCAGAAAGCCACGGCUAACUACGUGCCAGCAGCCGCGGUAAUACGUAGGUGGCAAGCGUGUCCGGAAUUAUUGGGCGUAAAGGGCUCGCAGGCGGUUUCUUAAGUCUGAUGUGAAAGCCCCCGGCUCAACCGGGGAGGGUCAUUGGAAACUGGGGAACUUGAGUGCAGAAGAGGAGAGUGGAAUUCCACGUGUAGCGGUGAAAUGCGUAGAGAUGUGGAGGAACACCAGUGGCGAAGGCGACUCUCUGGUCUGUAACUGACGCUGAGGAGCGAAAGCGUGGGGAGCGAACAGGAUUAGAUACCCUGGUAGUCCACGCCGUAAACGAUGAGUGCUAAGUGUUAGGGGGUUUCCGCCCCUUAGUGCUGCAGCUAACGCAUUAAGCACUCCGCCUGGGGAGUACGGUCGCAAGACUGAAACUCAAAGGAAUUGACGGGGGCCCGCACAAGCGGUGGAGCAUGUGGUUUAAUUCGAAGCAACGCGAAGAACCUUACCAGGUCUUGACAUCCUCUGACAAUCCUAGAGAUAGGACGUCCCCUUCGGGGGCAGAGUGACAGGUGGUGCAUGGUUGUCGUCAGCUCGUGUCGUGAGAUGUUGGGUUAAGUCCCGCAACGAGCGCAACCCUUGAUCUUAGUUGCCAGCAUUCAGUUGGGCACUCUAAGGUGACUGCCGGUGACAAACCGGAGGAAGGUGGGGAUGACGUCAAAUCAUCAUGCCCCUUAUGACCUGGGCUACACACGUGCUACAAUGGACAGAACAAAGGGCAGCGAAACCGCGAGGUUAAGCCAAUCCCACAAAUCUGUUCUCAGUUCGGAUCGCAG
rnacentral:rRNA from 1 species